rnacentral:rRNA from 1 species
GACGGGGGAUGCAAGCGUUAUCCGGAAUCACUGGGCGUAAAGCUGCUGUAGGUGGUGAUGCAAGUCACUGGUGCAAAACUCUGGCUCAACCGGAGGAAAGCCAGUGAAACUGCAUGACUAGAGUGUGGGAGAGGUAGAAGGAAUUCCCUGAGUAGCGGUGAAAUGCGUAGAUACAGGGAAGAACACCGGAUGCGAAAGCGUUCUACUGGAACACAACUGACACUGAGAGACGAAAGCUAGGGGAGCGAAUGGG